AAGGAAUGACCUUAAGCAAGCACUUCUUCCCUCAGGGCAACAUUUAAAAAAAUAAGAAGGUUGGAUUGAUCAACAUUUUACAGCCUGUAUUUCAUAUGACAUUCUCCUUUUAAUAUAUUUGCUUGAACCUUCUUGAAAACAGGACUCCAUGGACAAAUAAGGUGUGGAAAGGGAAGAUCUCGGUUUCAAUGGAGCAUUGGAUCUACACAAGUCAAGACGCAAAGAGUGGGCUUUGAUGAAGACUGAUGCUAAAGCUGAAUUCUGGACAAUGAGUAGCAAUGAGCCAUGUAAAGAAAAGGAACAUGAAGAACUGUGAUGCAAAUCAACCUCUUUUCUUUAUAAGUUACCCAGCCUCCGGUAUUCCUUUAUAGCAACACUAAAUGGACUAAGAAGGGAACUUCCCACCUUACUAAAGAAUAUUUACAAAAAAUUACUGCAGUUAACAGCAUACUUAAUGAUCAAGUCAACAGGUUGUGAGGAAGCCUAGGAAAUAAGGAGAGUCCCAUGUAGAGAAGAACUGAGGCUUGUUGACAACAGCCAACACCAACAUGCCAGCUACAUGAGUGAGCAGUCUUUAAGUGGAAACUCCAGUCUCAAUCAGACCUUCAGAUAAUGCAUUCCUGGCUGACCUCUGCAAUCUCAGGAGAGACCACAAGCCAGAACCACUCAGCCAUGCCAUUCCCAAAUGCAGAAGCUGCGAGAAAUAAUAAAUGAUUGUUACUGUUUUAAGA